GAUGAAAACGUAGCGAAAUGCGAUAAGUAAUGUGAAUUGCAGAAUUCAGUGAAUCAUCGAAUCUUUGAACGCACAUUGCGCCCGCCAGUAUUCUGGCGGGCAUGCCUGUUCGAGCGUCAUUACAACCCUCAGGCCCCCGGGCCUGGCGUUGGGGAUCGGCGGAGCCCCCCGUGGGCACACGCCGUCCCCCAAAUGCAGUGGCGGUCCCGCCGCAGCUUCCAUCGCGUAGUAGCUAACACCUCGCGACUGGAGAGCGGCGCGGCCACGCCGUAAAACACCCAACUCUUCUGAAGUUGACCUCGAAUCAGGUAGGAAUACCCGCUGAACUUAAGCAUAUCAAUAAGCGGAGGA
rnacentral:misc_RNA from 1 species